GGUCUCUCUAUGUAGUUUAGGCUGGCCUAGAGCUCACUUUGUAGUCCAGGCUGGCCUCAAACUCCAAAGUAUUCUCCUGCCUCAGCCUCCUGAGUGCUGGGAUUACAGGCAUGCACCACUAUGCCAG
rnacentral:miRNA from 1 species